rnacentral:lncRNA from 1 species
UGAUCUUGGUUAUUUCUCUUCUGCUGCUGGGUUUAUUGCUUCCUUGAUUGGCUUAAUAAUCGACGUCUGAAUUCUUUUUCUGGCAAUUCAGAGAUUUCUUCUUAGUUUGAAUCCAUUGCUGGUGAGCUAGUGUGAUCUUUUGGGGUUGUUAAAAAAGCUUAUUUUGUCAUUUAACCAGAAUUGUUUUUCUGGUUCCUUCCCAUUGGGGUAGACUAUAUCAGAUUCUUUUGUCCCACGGGGGUGCUUUCUUGAUGUGGUACUCUCCCCUCUCCCCUAGGGAUGGGGCUUCCUGAGCUGAACUGCAGUGAUUACUAUUUCUCUUCUGGAUCUAGCCACCCAGAGGAGCUACCAGGCUCUGAGCUAGGACUGGAGAGUGUCUGCAAAGAGUCCUGUGAUGUGAUCCAUCUUCAGGUCUCUCAGCCAUCGACACCAGCACCUACUCUGGUGGAGGUAUCAAAGGAGUGAAGUAAACUCUGUCAGAGUCCUUGGUUGUAUUUCUGUUAUGUACACAGGUUUUGUGCUGGUUGGCUUCUAAUCAGGAGGUGGAGCUUUCAAGAGCUUAUUAGCUGUAGUUGUACAGGGAGGAUACAAACUUGCCCUAGGGUCACAUUUGGAUAAGUAUUCAAGUUUCUCAGGUGGUGGUCAGGGCCACAGAGCUCCUAAGAGACUAUUUCCUUUGUCUUCAGCUACCCAGGCAAGUAGACAAAGACCAUCAGGUGGGGGCAGGGUUAGGUGUAUCUGAGCUCAGACUCUCCCUGGGUGGGGUUUGUUGUGGCUGCUCUGGGGGUUGGGGGUGUGGUUCCCAGGCCAAUGGAGUUAUGUUCCCAGGGGAUUAUGGCUGCCUCCACUGCAUCACAAAGGUAUCCAGGGAAGGUGGGGGGAAAGCCAGCAGCCACAGGCCUCAUCUAGCUCCCAAGCAGCCUACAGCCUUUUGAAAGGCCAGUCUUACUCUCCCAACAGCACUGAGUUUAUUCCCAGGCAGCCAGUGAGCAGGGCUGUGAAUUUACCCCAGGCUACAAGCCUCCUAGUUGAGAAAGCAAGCUGACUCACAGUUCCUUGGCUGUCCAAUGGAGCCUGCAGUGGCAAUCCACCUCCUUCAAAGGGUCUGUGGCUUCUCUUGGCUUUCCUGAUGGUGUCAGAAGUGGGAUCCCAAGCAGAGCUUCUAGGGACCCCCAGGAGUGCCAAGUGAACAUGCAAGCUACCUUCAGGACCCACUUGUGUCCAUGGAUCUCUCAAAGCAGCUGAGGAUUGUGGGGCAACCAUCUUGUCCAGAGACCACGUAUUGAAACUCCUAGACUGAGGUUGGAUUAAAGAUGAUGGGGCCCCCAGUGCAAAAACAUACCAAAUUGUAAAGGCUAUCAACACUAUGAAGAAACUUCAUCAACUAAUGAGCAA